AAAGCUGUUGGAGAUGACAUUCCUCCCAAACCGCCUUCACCGGCUGAUGAUGUCUACGAAAUC
rnacentral:ncRNA from 2 species